AAUCUCCCGAAUUCGGAGGUCUCAAGGUUGGCAAUGGAGGACGACACGGCCACUGUACGGCCACAGCGCACACAUACUGUACCGACACUUUUGGCACAAGCAGGUUGAGGAGCUCCUGGAAGAGCUCGGUGACGUUGUGGUUGGUCUUGGCCGACGUCUCCAUGAAGGCGCACUUCCACUGGUUGGCCUGGGCCUCGCCGUCCUUGGUCUCCACCUCGCGCAGGGUCUCGUCGCUCUUGUUGCCCACCAGCAUGAUGGGGAUGGCCUCCACGUUGCCCUUGAUGGCCAGGACCUUGGAGAGAAAGUGCGACACGUGUGAGUAGACCUGCAAGGAGGCGAUUGCGAAAUGGACCUAGUUCAAGAAUCAAAGAUGGCUGCAUUUUGGCCCCCCGAUUUGCAGCUAGACUUUUCCCACAAUGUCUCAGCCAUGGAGGCAUUGCUUAGAUAUUUAUUCAAACAAAUCUUGCUUUCUUCCAAAGUUGCUUCAAAUUAGCUAUUUUUUUGAGACUUUAGUGAGAUAUUUUGAGUUCGUUACGUCAGCCAAUAUCACUAUAUAUCGUGGCGUUUACCCCAAGAGCUUUGCGCGACUCCGCCAUUUUUAUCCAGUUGUAGUCCCACAUUUUAGCCAAUAAGUUCCUUCUUUUUCUCUAUUCUCUUGUUUUGGGGCAGACUGGCUCGUACACGCACAUGCAUCCUCCACUGUUGUAAUUUCUAAUACACAGUAGCAUAUAGUUCUAACUAGUGUUGUCCCGAUACCAAUAUUUUGGUACCGGUACCGAUACCAAAAUAUUGAUAAAAUAACCAGUUUAAAUAUUGUGGUGAGUUAGUUGACAGAGACGAGUUGUGCACUUUAGCGAGUUGUA